rnacentral:snRNA from 1 species
GAACUCGAGAGCCAUCUGGCUGUGACAUCUGUCACUCCAAUAUUACUGGGUGGUUCAGCUGAUCUGGCUCCUUAGGCUGGUGUCCCCUUCCUUCUUCACUGUCACAUAUGUGUCUCCUUUAAAGCUGUGCACUCUAUAGAGAGGUGGAGGAGGAUGACUAUGCCGAAGGAUGGCCUUCCCAGACAGGAGGAGGACUGGUAUUCAGUCAAGGGCAUAUAAGUAACUGUAAUCCCAAGCUAGAACCUCCAAAUAAGUUCUCAAAUUCCAAAUAUGGUUACAAAAUUCAGGUCUUAUUUGAAGUAGAUUUGUUUUCUUGAUUACAUCAUUAUAUAAGUCAAU